UACGAAGGGGGCUAGCGUUGUUCGGAAUUACGGGGCGUAAAGCGCACGUAGGCGGUGUUCCAUGUCAGAGGUGAAAGCCUGGGGCUCAACUCCAGAAUUGCCUUUGAAACGGGAACGCUUGAGUCCGAGAGAGGGUGGAGGAAUUCCUAGUGUAGAGGUGAAAUUCGUAGAUAUUAGGAAGAACACCAGUGGCGAAGGCGGCCACCUGGCUCGGUCCUGACGCUCAGGUUCGAAAGCGUGGGGAGCAAACAGG
rnacentral:rRNA from 1 species